rnacentral:rRNA from 1 species
GAUGAACGCUGGCUGCGUGCCUAAUACAUGCAAGUCGAGCGAACGGACGAGAAGCUUGCUUCUCUGAUGUUAGCGGCGGACGGGUGAGUAACACGUGGAUAACCUACCUAUAAGACUGGGAUAACUUCGGGAAACCGGAGCUAAUACCGGAUAAUAUUUUGAACCGCAUGGUUCAAAAGUGAAAGACGGUCUUGCUGUCACUUAUAGAUGGAUCCGCGCUGCAUUAGCUAGUUGGUAAGGUAACGGCUUACCAAGGCAACGAUGCAUAGCCGACCUGAGAGGGUGAUCGGCCACACUGGAACUGAGACACGGUCCAGACUCCUACGGGAGGCAGCAGUAGGGAAUCUUCCGCAAUGGGCGAAAGCCUGACGGAGCAACGCCGCGUGAGUGAUGAAGGUCUUCGGAUCGUAAAACUCUGUUAUUAGGGAAGAACAUAUGUGUAAGUAACUGUGCACAUCUUGACGGUACCUAAUCAGAAAGCCACGGCUAACUACGUGCCAGCAGCCGCGGUAAUACGUAGGUGGCAAGCGUUAUCCGGAAUUAUUGGGCGUAAAGCGCGCGUAGGCGGUUUUUUAAGUCUGAUGUGAAAGCCCACGGCUCAACCGUGGAGGGUCAUUGGAAACUGGAAAACUUGAGUGCAGAAGAGGAAAGUGGAAUUCCAUGUGUAGCGGUGAAAUGCGCAGAGAUAUGGAGGAACACCAGUGGCGAAGGCGACUUUCUGGUCUGUAACUGACGCUGAUGUGCGAAAGCGUGGGGAUCAAACAGGAUUAGAUACCCUGGUAGUCCACGCCGUAAACGAUGAGUGCUAAGUGUUAGGGGGUUUCCGCCCCUUAGUGCUGCAGCUAACGCAUUAAGCACUCCGCCUGGGGAGUACGACCGCAAGGUUGAAACUCAAAGGAAUUGACGGGGACCCGCACAAGCGGUGGAGCAUGUGGUUUAAUUCGAAGCAACGCGAAGAACCUUACCAAAUCUUGACAUCCUUUGACAACUCUAGAGAUAGAGCUUUCCCCUUCGGGGGACAAAGUGACAGGUGGUGCAUGGUUGUCGUCAGCUCGUGUCGUGAGAUGUUGGGUUAAGUCCCGCAGCGAGCGCAACCCUUAAGCUUAGUUGCCAUCAUUAAGUUGGGCACUCUAAGUUGACUGCCGGUGACAAACCGGAGGAAGGUGGGGAUGACGUCAAAUCAUCAUGCCCCUUAUGAUUUGGGCUACACACGUGCUACAAUGGACAAUACAAAGGGCAGCGAAGCCGCGAGGUCAAGCAAAUCCCAUAAAGUUGUUCUCAGUUCGGAUUGUAGUCUGCAACUCGACUACAUGAAGCUGGAAUCGCUAGUAAUCGUAGAUCAGCAUGCUACGGUGAAUACGUUCCCGGGUCU